rnacentral:tRNA from 1 species
GGCUGGGUGGCGAAAUCGGUAGACGCAGCAGACUCAAAAUCUGCCGAGAAAUCAUAAGGGUUCGAGUCCCUUCCUAGUCA